rnacentral:rRNA from 1 species
AUUGAACGCUGGCGGCAGGCCUAACACAUGCAAGUCGAACGAGUGGCGGACGGGUGAGUAAUGUCUGGGAAACUGCCUGAUGGAGGGGGAUAACUACUGGAAACGGUAGCUAAUACCGCAUACCAUCGGAUGUGCCCAGAUGGGCUUAGCUAGUAGGUGGGGUAAAGGCUCACCUAGGCGACGAUCCCUAGCUGGUCUGAGAGGAUGACAGGCAACACUGGAACUGAGCCACGGUCCAGACUCCUACGGGAGGCAGCAGUGGGGAAUAUUGCAAAAUGGGCGCAAGCCUGAUGGAGCCAUGCCGCGGGUAUGAAGAAGGCCUUCGGGUUUUAAAGUACUUUCAGCGGGGAGGCGUUACCCGAAGAAGAAGCACCUGCUAACUCCGUGCCAGCCGCCGCGGUAAUUC